UAGCAGCGCAUCAUGGUUUGAAACGAUGUCAAAAGUGUCCAAACCAUUAUGUGCUGCUGU
ensembl:miRNA gmo-mir-15b gmo-mir-15b